UUUCACAUAUGGCUCUUCAGGAGUUCUAAAUAUGUUGCGAAAGUUUACUAAUGGAGUAGAAUUGCUAAGGCCAGGGCAAACUAGAUUUGCUACUGCUUUUAUUACACUGGGAAGGAUUCAUCUUCAGAAAGCCAACAUUAGAAAAAUGUUUACUUCGAAAAGUUGGACAACUAGUAAAUGGGCUAAAUAGGUGAAAGGCAAAAAGUGUGAAAGGACGGUUUUGAGUCCUGCCUUCUGGAAUCAUGUUGUUUAUGCUCUUAAGGUUUCCGGUCCUCUUGUUCGUGUGCUUCGACUUGUUGAUAAUGAAAAAAAAUCAGCUAUGGGAUAUAUUUAUGAAGCCAUGGAUAGGGCUAAAGAAGCCAUUGCCAACUCACUCAAUGGCAAUGAAGAGAAAUACAAGAGCAUUUUUGAGAUUAUUGAUGCGAAAUGGUCACUUCAAUUGCAUCGUCUUUUGCAUGCUGCUGGAUACUUUUUGAAUCCUGAAUUUUUUUAUCCAAAUGAGAUGAGAAUUGAAUUUGAUGAAGAGGUCAAUACAGGAUUGCUUUCAUGCAUUCAUAAAAUGGAAAAAAAUUCAGCAAAAGUUUAUAUGAUUCUUGAUGAAAUUGAGAAAUACAAGGCAGCUGCAGGGACCUUUGGUUUUCCUUCAGCUAUUAGAGGAAGAACAACCAAAUCUCCAGCUGCUUGGUGAAAAACAUAUGGUUCUUCAACUCCAAACCUACAAAAGUUUGCUGUAAAGGUUCUGAGUCUCACAUGUAGUGCAAGUGGUUGUGAAAGAAAUUGGAGUGUAUUUGAGCAUCUUCAUAGUAAGAAAAGAAAUCGGCUAUUUCAAGAACGCUUGGACAAUUUGGUAUAUGUGAAGUACAAUAGAGCGUUGCUACGCAGACACACUUUUGGGGAUAUCACAACACCUAUUGAUUUGGCAAAUAUUGAUGAGAGUAAUGAAUGGUUGCUUGGUGAAUUAGAAAAAGGUGAUGGGGAUGAUGAUAAUGAUGAUUCUCUUGUUUUCAUGAAUGACGUAUUGACCUGGGGUGAUAUUGGUAGAGCAGCUGGAGUUUCUGAAUCUCGUUAUGAAUCGAGAUCGGCUGCAAGAUCAACACCACCAGUUGAAACUCCAUCAUUUCGAAGGCCUCGUGCAAUGAGAGGUGCAUCCUCUUCGCAAGUUGAUGAUGAUGAAGAGGAGGAAGAAUUUAUGAUGGCCGUUGUUGAAAAUGAAGAUUUUGGAAAUCUUGAUGAUGAGUAGUUUUAGUUUUAUGUACUUAUUGCAUUUUGUUUAUUAUGACUUACAACUUAUUUUUAUGUAUUAAAGUCUGAACAUAUAUAAUUUAUAUUUUCUAUUAUGUGACUUAUGAUUUAUUUCUAAUUUUUUAUUUAUUAUGUAUAAUUUUAUAGCGUCACUUUUAUCAUAUACAUCUGCUGCAAAUUUAGGUAUGAACUAUUUCUUUUUUUAACAUCUCUUAUUAUUAUGUGUGCUUUU